rnacentral:rRNA from 1 species
AGGGAAUUUUGCGCAAUGGGCGAAAGCCUGACGCAGCGACGCCGCGUGAGGGAAGAAUGCCUUCGGGUUGUAAACCUCUGUCCAUGGGGAAGAUGAUGACGGUACCCGUGGAGGAAGCCCCGGCUAACUACGUGCCAGCAGCCGCGGUAAUACGUAGGGGGCGAGCGUUGUCCGGAAUUAUUGGGCGUAAAGGGUGCGUAGGCGGCAUUUUAAGUCACAUGUGAAACUCCUCGGCUCAACCGGGGACUUGCAUGUGAAACUAGAAUGCUUGAGUUCAGGAGAGGAGAACGGAAUUCCUGGUGUAGCGGUGAAAUGCGUAGAUAUCAGGAGGAACACCAGUGGCGAAGGCGGUUCUCUGGACUGCAACUGACGCUGAGGCACGAAAGCUGGGGUAGCGAAC